UUAUUGGACUACUUUUGAAAAUGACAAACGGAAGAUUAAGUCACAAAAGUUACGAUUCAUACAGAUGAAGUGUGCUCAACAAGUUGAUGCAGUGGAUAGUGGUUAUUAUGUGAUGAAAUACAUGCAUGAUGUUGUCACAGUAUACAAUGAAUACAAGGAUAAUUUGUCUGAGGGUUAUGUACAAAGAGAAAUGCCAUAUUCUGAUGAGGAGUUAGAAGAAACUCGAAAACAAUGGGAAAAGUAUUUUAAGGACAACUAUUUGAUGGAUGCCGGCAAAUG